GGAGGCGCGCCACCUCCUCCUCCAAGCCUGCGUGAAUCAUGAACUGGUCAGUAAAGCAAACUACACAAGUACGCAAAGCUGCUCGGAGCGUGUGACUAACCUUCUCGCUGCCGGUACUGGUCGGCCAAGCGACGAGUGAGGUCGAGACGACGCUCCUCUUGGGCGCUCAUCUCGGCCACCUUCUCCCCGACUUCCGACCGCAACCGGUCCACCUCUGCGGCCAGG
rnacentral:lncRNA from 1 species